rnacentral:misc_RNA from 1 species
ACGACGUCCCGGGAAUUGAUCAUGCCGCGCGCGAACGGCGCGAGGCGCGUGUCAAAGCUGAUGAAGGCGAUGACGUUGCGGAUGAUGGGGUUUUGCAUGUUGUCCAGGCCGAAGGCCAUGAAGUGGAGCGCGAACAGGAUCACGAACGUGAUGAAGAACGCAG